rnacentral:rRNA from 1 species
UGAGGAAUAUUGGGCAAUGCCCGCAAGGGUGACCCAGCAACGCCGCGUGGAGGAUGAAUGUCGUAAGAUUGUAAACUCCUGUUAGAGGGGAAGAAUAGUACCGGUUGGACCGGUAUAUGACUGUACCCUCAGAGAAAGCCCCGGCUAACUACGUGCCAGCAGCCGCGGUAAUACGUAGGGGGCAAGCGUUGUCCGGAUUUACUGGGCGUAAAGGGCGCGUAGGCGGCAAUUCAAGUCAGCUGUGAAAUCUCUGGGCUUAACCCGGAACGGCCAGCUGAUACUGCUUUGCGAGAGUGCGGAAGGGGCAAUCGGAAUUCUUGGUGUAGCGGUAAAAUGCGUAGAUAUCAAGAGGAACACCUGAGGUGAAGACGGGUUGCUGGGCCGACACUGACGCUGAGGCGCGAAAGCCAGGGGAGCAAACG